rnacentral:lncRNA from 1 species
UAUCUACUUAAUAAAGUAGUAAAGGAGGGUUUCUGCCCUAAGAAUCAGUCAGAAUGGGCUCUUUUAUUGCAGAUGCAGUUAUUAGAGGAAGCUAGCUUGGAAAGAAGUCUUUUCAGGAUUCGCGACACUGGCGGAUGUCCCUUCUGCGUCUUGACCGACGUCCCGACCGCUUGGGGACUUGGGCACCAGCUCAUCCGCUGAUGGACCCUACCCAGCGGCUACGACCGGGACCCUCUGGUCCCUGGUCUUCUCCUGAGGAGGAUGACUGGCCAGAGUGCCCCGACCGGGAUCCGCACACCCUCCUUUUCCUGCCACACCGGAGCAUCUUCCUCCUCUGCUGGACAAGUUUGCCAAGGAACUUACCCAAAUCCAGGUAAAAGUGAGUAACUCAUGGGAGGUCCUGGAUCUCAAGCCAGAUGCCAGGGCAGAGGGGUGCUGAUUGAUCAACAACUGGCUGUGCUGACCUAAAAAGCAGGGUGUCUGUUUUCAGGGAGUGGGAUGGUGUCCUGUGGGGUGAGUGCCCUGGUCGACUUUGAGAUAGUCACACCCCCACCCAUCGUGCAUUUCAGUGCCCUGCCAGGGAGAGGAGUCAGGAAAUCAUGCUGGCCAGUGCCCCAGGCCAGUGCAGACCAGGCUUCUGCCCUGGGAGGCCGAGGAAGGGCUGAGGGUUGCUGUUAGGGUGCAUGUCCGCCAGACGGCCCCAGAGAGGCAGGUGAGCCGCCCCCCCGCCUCUCCCUGGCUGCCUCACCAGGCUCGGAAAGUGAUUGGAGAUGGAUGGAUGGAACCUCAAGGAGGGGCCCGGAGCCUUGUGUUUGUGUACCUGGUGCCUCUGCCCCAGCGGCCCAGUUUGCCUCCACUCAGUGAGGGCAACAUUCCUCAUUCGGGACAACAACCGGGGCUUCCUUGGCGGAGAGUCAGGGCCUUUAAUGUAACAAGUGGAGGUCUAGUUGGAGAGAGCUUAGGGCUUUAGAUAAGGGCAAGGCUGGGCCUAAAUUAGGUAAACAGACAGGGCCUUAAUUAGAGACAGCUCAGAGCAUGAGUCAGGGUUAGUGCAAGGCCUUAGGUAGGGACAUGCCAGGACCUUAUUUAGGCACAGCAUAGAGCCUUAGGUAGGCAAACAGGGCCUCAUUUGGAGAGAGCUCAAGCUGAUAAUGAAGGGUAAGUUCUUAGUUAGGAACAGCACAAGGCUUAUAUAGGGACAGCACAGGGCCUCAGUUAGGCACUCGGUCAGGGCCUUCGUUGGAGACUGACUGGGGACAGUGCAUGGCCUCUUUUAGGGAGAGCCCAGGGCCUUAUUUAGGGACAUCACAGCGUCUCAGUUCUGGGGAGAGCCAAAGAUUUAGUUAGAAGAAGCUCAGAUGGCAGUUAGGGAGAGCC